rnacentral:rRNA from 1 species
CGGCCCCUACGGGGGGCAGCAGUGGGGGAUAUUGCACAAUGGGGGAAACCCUGAUGCAGCGACGCCGCGUGGACGAAGAAGUAUUUCGGUAUGUAAAGUCCUAUCAGCAGGGAAGAAGAAAUGACGGUACCUGACUAAGAAGCCCCGGCUAACUACGUGCCAGCAGCCGCGGUAAUACGUAGGGGGCAAGCGUUAUCCGGAUUUACUGGGUGUAAAGGGAGCGUAGACGGCUGAGCAAGUCUGAAGUGAAAGGCGGGGGCCCAACCCCCGGACUGCUUUGGAAACUGUAUAGCUAGAGUGCAGGG